rnacentral:rRNA from 1 species
GUCGAGAAUCUUUCACAAUGGGGGCAACCCUGAUGGAGCGACGCCGCGUGGAGGAUAAGGUCUUCGGAUUGUAAACUCCUGUCAUGCGUGAACAAGGUUGCUUGGUUAAUACCUGGGCAAAUUGAUGGUAACGCAAGAGAAAGAGACGGCUAACUCUGUGCCAGCAGCCGUGGUAAUACAGAGGUCUCAAGCGUUGUUCGGAAUCACUGGGCGUAAAGGGUGCGUAGGUGGCGUGGCAAGUCAGAUGUGAAAGCCCGGGGCUCAACCUCGGAACUGCAUCCGAUACUGCCAUGCUAGAGUACUGGAGGGGUGACUAGAAUUCUCGGUGUAGCAGUGAAAUGCGUAGAUAUCGAGAGGAAUACCAAAGGCGUAGGCAGGUCACUGGACAGUUACUGACACUGAGGCACGAAGGCCAGGGGAGCGAACGGGAUUAGAAACCCUGGUAGUCC